UACAGAGGGGGCAAGCGUUGUUCGGAAUUACUGGGCGUAAAGGGCGCGUAGGCGGCCUGCUAAGUCGAACGUGAAAUCCCUGGGCUCAACCCAGGAACUGCGUCCGAUACUGGUUGGCUUGAAUCCGGGAGAGGGACGUGGAAUUCCAGGUGUAGCGGUGAAAUGCGUAGAUAUCUGGAGGAACACCGGUGGCGAAGGCGACGUCCUGGACCGGCAUUGACGCUGAGGCGCGAAGGCGUGGGGAGCGAACAGG
rnacentral:rRNA from 1 species